GGGUGCGAUCAUACCAGCGUUAAUGCACCGGAUCCCAUCAGAACUCCGCAGUUAAGCGUGCUUGGG
rnacentral:rRNA from 1 species